AUUGAACGCUGGCGGCAGGCCUAACACAUGCAAGUCGAGCGAGCGGCGGACGGGUGAGUAAUGUAUGGGGACUGCCCGAUAGAGGGGGAUAACUACUGGAAACGGUGGCUAAUACCGCAUACUAUCGGAUAACCCAUAUGGGAUUAGCUAGUAGGUGGGGUAAAGGCUCACAUAGGCGACGAUCUCUAGCUGGUCUGAGAGGAUGAUCAGCCACACGUGGACCUAGACACGUCCCAGACUCCUACGUAGGUAGCAGUGGGGAAUAUUGCACAUUUGGCGCAAGCCUGAUGCAGCCAUGCCGCGUGUAUGAAGAGGUCCUUAGGGUUGUAAAGUACUUUCAGCGGGGGGGCGUUACCCGCAGAAGGAGCACCGGCUAACUCCGUGCCAGCAGCCGCGGUAAUAC
rnacentral:rRNA from 1 species